GUCUGGAAAGGCGCGCGAUACAGGGUGACAGCCCCGUACACAAAAAUGCACAUGCUGUGAGCUCGAUGAGUAGGGCGGGACACGUGGUAUCCUGUCUGAAUAUGGGGGGACCAUCCUCCAAGGCUAAAUACUCCUGACUGACCGAUAGUGAACCAGUACCGUGAGGGAAAGGCGAAAAGAACCCCGGCGAGGGGAGUGAAAAAGAACCUGAAACCGUGUACGUACAAGCAGUGGGAGCACGCUUAGGCGUGUGACUGCGUACCUUUUGUAUAAUGGGUCAGCGACUUAUAUUCUGUAGCAAGGUUAACCGAAUAGGGGAGCCGAAGGGAAACCGAGUCUUAACUGGGCGUUAAGUUGCAGGGUAUAGACCCGAAACCCGGUGAUCUAGCCAUGGGCAGGUUGAAGGUUGGGUAACACUAACUGGAGGACCGAACCGACUAAUGUUGAAAAAUUAGCGGAUGACUUGUGGCUGGGGGUGAAAGGCCAAUCAAACCGGGAGAUAGCUGGUUCUCCCCGAAAGCU
rnacentral:rRNA from 1 species